rnacentral:rRNA from 1 species
ACGGGGUAGGAAUACGUAGGUAACGUACCCUCGGGGCGAGGACAGCCACGGGAAACUGUGGGUAAUACUCGAUAAACUUCCCAAUCAUUAUGGAAGGGGAAGCAAUGGGUGUGAUUCCACCUGAGGAGCGGCUUACGCAGUAUCAGCUAGUUGGUGAGGUAACGGCUCACCAAGGCUACGACGCUUAGGGGGUGUGAGAGCAUGGCCCCCACCACUGGCACUGAGACACUGGCCAGACGCCUACGGGUGGCUGCAGUCGAGAAUCUUCGGCAAUGGACGCAAGUCUGACCGAGCGACGCCGCGUGUGGGAUGAAGGCCUUCGGGUUGUAAACCACUGUCAGAGGGGAUGAAGUGUACGAGAGUUAUCUCUUGUAUUUGACAGAGCCUCAGAGGAAGCACGGGCUAAGUUCGUGCCAGCAGCCGCGGUAAUACGAACUGUGCGAACGUUAUUCGGAAUCACUGGGCUUAAAGGGUGCGUAGGCGGUUAUCUAAGUCAGGUGUGAAAUCUCUCGGCUCAACCGGGAAACUGCGCUUGAAACUGGAUGACUGGAGUGAUGCAGGGGUGUGUGGAACUCCCGGU